rnacentral:rRNA from 1 species
UACAGAGGUGGCAAGCGUUGUUCGGAAUUACUGGGCGUAAAGGGCGCGUAGGCGGCCCUCUAAGUCAGACGUGAAAUCCCCCGGCUCAACCUGGGAACUGCGUCUGAUACUGGGGGGCUUGAGUAUGGGAGAGGGAUGUAGAAUUCCAGGUGUAGCGGUGAAAUGCGUAGAUAUCUGGAGGAAUACCGGUGGCGAAGGCGGCAUCCUGGACCAUUACUGACGCUGAGGCGCGAAAGCUAGGGGAGCAAACGGG